CCUACGGGCGGCAGCAGUGGGGGAUAUUGGACAAUGGGGGGAACCCUGAUGCAGCGACGCCGCGUGAGUGAAGAAGUAUCUCGGUACGUAAAGCUCUAUCAGCAGGGAAGAAAAUGACGGUACCUGACUAAGAAGCCCCGUCUAACUACGUGCCAGCAGCCGCGGUAAUACGUAGGGGGCAAGCGUUAUCCGGAUUUACUGGGUGUAAAGGGAGCGUAGACGGCAGCACAAGUCUGGAGUGAAAUCCCGGGGCUUAACCCCGGAACUGCUUUGGAAACUGUGCGGCGGGAGUGCAGGAGGGGUAAGCGGAAUUCCUGGUGUAGCGGUGAAAUGCGUAGAUAUUAGGCGGAACACCGGUGGCGAAGGCGGCUUACUGGACUGUAACUGACGUUGAGGCUCGAAAGCGUGGGGAGCAAACAGGAUUAGAUACCCGGGUAGUC
rnacentral:rRNA from 1 species